GUAACCAAACAAAGAGUUUAUUGCACACGUCUACAAAAGGAGACUAGGGUUUUUUUGGGUAGGGCACGGAGGGUACAAGGAGGAGAGAGAGAGGUGCGUCAAUUUUAGGAACUAGAAGAAUUUCACAGCCAAAGAUGAGGCGUCUUUCUGAAAAUGCAAAAACGUGGCUUGCGGUAAUUCCAGUCGCUAUUGCUGGAGUUUAUGUCGGCCGUCUUGCUGCCGAGUUGCACAACCAGAAAAUUGAGAAGGCAAUAGAGGCAAUAAAAUGCAAGAGUAACAGUGCAAAUACAGUUUUCCGAGAUGCGGCUGGUUCAAAGGAUGGAAUUUAGAGCAUGCAGUACUCUUUCAUUCCGUUCUGAAUGAAAAUACAUUAUAAGUUGUUAUAAAAUAGUGAUAUGCAUAUUAUAUUGACGGCAGUUGUAAUCUCACGUAUUAACUCGUGUGAUACAUUACAUAAACACAUUAUAAGUUGUUAUAAAAUAGUGAUGCAUAUUAUAUUGA